UACGGAGGGUGCAAGCGUUGUUCGGAUUUACUGGGCGUAAGCGCGCGCAGGUGGGUGAACAAGUCGGAAGUGAAAUCUUGAGGCUCAACCUCGAGGCUGCUCCCGAAACUGUUCGCCUAGGGACUGGUAGAGGCUGGUAGAAUUCCCGGUGUAGCGGUGGGAUGCGUAGAGAUCGGGAAGAACACCAAUGGCGAAGGCAGCUCGCUGGGACGUUACUGACGCUGAGACGCGAAAGCGUGGGGAGCAAACAGGG
rnacentral:rRNA from 1 species